GACGAACGCUGGCGGCGUGCUUAACACAUGCAAGUCGAACGGAAAGGCCCUGCUUUUGUGGGGUGCUCGAGUGGCGAACGGGUGAGUAACACGUGAGUAACCUGCCCUUGACUUUGGGAUAACUUCAGGAAACUGGGGCUAAUACCGGAUAGGAGCUCCUGCUGCAUGGUGGGGGUUGGAAAGUUUCGGCGGUUGGGGAUGGACUCGCGGCUUAUCAGCUUGUUGGUGGGGUAGUGGCUUACCAAGGCUUUGACGGGUAGCCGGCCUGAGAGGGUGACCGGCCACAUUGGUACUGAGAUACGGCCCAGACUCCUACGGUAGGCAGCAGUGGGGAAUAUUGCACAAUGGGCGGAAGCCUGAUGCAGCAACGCCGCGUGCGGGAUGACGGCCUUCGGGUUGUAAACCGCUUUCGCCUGUGACGAAGCGUGAGUGACGGUAAUGGGUAAAGAAGCACCGGCUAACUACGUG
rnacentral:rRNA from 1 species